GACGAACGCUGGCGGCAGGCCUAACACAUGCAAGUCGAACGAGUGGCGGACGGGUGAGUAAUGUCUGGGAAACUGCCCGAUGGAGGGGGAUAACUACUGGAAACGGUAGCUAAUACCGCAUACCAUCGGAUGUGCCCCGAUGGGCUUAGCUAGUAGGUGGGGUAACGGCUCACCUAGGCGACGAUCCGUAGCUGGUGUGAGAGGAUGACCAGCGACACUGGAAUGGAGACACGGUCCAGACGCCUAUGGGACGCAUCAGUGGGGAAUAUUGCACAAUGGGCGCAAGGAUGAUGCAGCCAUGGCGAGGUUAUGAAGAAGGCCGUGGGGUUGUAAAGUACUUUCAGCGGGGAGGCGGUACCCGCAGAAGAAGCACCGGCUAACUCCGUGCCAGCAGCCGCGGUAAUAC
rnacentral:rRNA from 1 species